GUCACAGCAGUACCAAGGAUAUACAGGGAUGUACCCCACUUACCAGAUGCCUCCACCACCACCGGCCUCAACAUCUACACCAGCACGGCCAACAAGGCCAAUCCAAUGCACUCAACAGCUGCCAAGGACACUGUCACCACCACCGGAGGAAGAGGGUCAGGACAGCCCCCACACACGAUAAUAUUCUUCAGAGAGUACUCUCUUGGGGAGGUCAGAACUUGAUUUUAGGAGGUGACUUCAACACGGUCGUCGAUCCGUCCAUAGACAGAUCAGGGGGAUGGUUGAUAAAGAGUCGUGGACAGCGUUGUUCGUGUUGUGCUUACAAAGAAAAUAUUAUCCUUAAAAGGUCCCACUGGAGAACACACGAGUCCUCUCUUCAAAUUCAAUAUCUUAUUUCGGCUCAAGUACCACUUAACUGUUCAAUCAAUAGCUUAUAAAUAAUUUAUCAUUUAUCUAGCAGGUUAUACACUCCCGUCUAACCUGCUGCAUCAAAAUGCCUAUGGUGACACCACUGUUAGACAUCUAUACAGAAGUUGGAUUAACACCAAAUUAGGCAACAAACCACUUAUCUUACUGGUGCUAAGAUUGAUAUACGGGAUACCACUUUAGGAGAUUUUAGCCAUCUACUUAUUGUCAGUAAACAUAUGCAAGGCUACUCCUGCUAUUGUACAAAAUAAUUUUUCACCUUGGCAGUUUCUAC